UACGGAGGGUGCAAGCGUUGUUCGGAAUUACUGGGCGUAAAGCGCGCGUAGGCGGCUUUGUAAGUUAGGGGUGAAAUCCCGGAGCUCAACUCCGGAACUGCCUCUAAGACUGCAUCGCUUGAAUCCGGGAGAGGUGAGUGGAAUUCCGAGUGUAGAGGUGAAAUUCGUAGAUAUUCGGAAGAACACCAGUGGCGAAGGCGGCUCACUGGACCGGUAUUGACGCUGAGGUGCAAAAGCGUGGGGAGCAAACAGG
rnacentral:rRNA from 1 species